rnacentral:rRNA from 1 species
UACGAAGGUGGCUAGCGUUGUUCGGAAUCACUGGGCUUAAAGAGCACGUAGGCGGAGAUGAAAGUGUCUUGUGAAAUCCCUCGGCUUAACCGAGGAAUUGCCCGGCAAACUACGUUUCUUGAGGCAAGCAGGGGUGUGUGGAACUCUUAGUGGAGCGGUGGAAUGCGUAGAGAUUAAGAGGAACGCCGAAGGUGAAAACAGCACACUGGGCUUGUACUGACGCUGAGGCGCGAAAGUGUGGGGAGCAAACAGG